CUCCUUUGACUACAAUAGUCAUGGUCCCUAAACUCCCACUAUCUCUCUUGAAACUUAUUUCAAUUGUGUUGUACACAUCAAACAUUUUGGAGAGCGUGUGGUUAUUGUUCACUAUAUAGUUUACAAUAAACUUAGUGAACCAUUAGGAUAGGGACAUAAAGGUGAAGUCCUUGCCUAGUUUCCGUCUCGUUAAGUGGUUUAUCACUUCAACACUCAAUGAUUCAAAAUCAUCCAUAAGUCCAUGUUAAUGGACUAUUUUUGUCAACCAACCAUUAUGUUCGAAACAUAAUUACAAACCUUCAAGAGUUGUACAAGGCAACUCUCAUUUCUUCAUACAACAAUUUGUAAGUGAAGAAUCAUGGCACAUUAAAGUGUCCAUGCCUUUGUGCUUUCUUCUCAAGUUCUUUGUUCAUUUAACAAAGAAACAAGCACUAAGUGUUUGCAUUGACUAAGGGUUGUUCAAAACAA
rnacentral:lncRNA from 1 species